GGUAGGUCGGUGCGAGCGAGGGGGCGGGGCACACGUAACAAGCAUUAAACGCAGAAAAGCGUGCUACGAAAAUCGAGCAAACUUAAGCCAAAGUUGCUUAAUUAUAAAUGACACACGUGUGGCAGAGCCAGCGCAGAGAGCUGCAGCAACCACAGCUAGACACACUCUACAUAAAAAUAGACAUACAUAUGUAUGUGUCUGUGUGUGUGCUAUCUAUGUAGGCCAGUCUAACACGUAGCACGUAAUACAGAGCGAACAAGUAAAACCAAACACGACACUAACGAAACUAAUUAGACGCACAGGCGCCCAAAAAAAAACUAAAAAAGCGGAUAGCUCACAUAUCGCUCAAAGCUCAAAUUGAUAUUUUACGUAGUGGCCCGGCCCGAAACGGCCGCUACCACUAACUAAAGUCCCGCUAGCCUCUGCUCUGCUCUGCUUUGCUCCCGGGCCAACAUUGUUUUGGGGCGGAAAGUUUUUAAGGCUCGUUAGCACGAAAUUGACAGUUUGACAGUUGAGUUGGCCAUACUUUAAUGCCACGGCCUUUGGCCCGCCCCACAGCUUGUACAACACACGCUCGAUCUCUGUCUCCCUCUCACUCUCUCUCUCUCUGCCACGUUGAGCGAUAACAAAAAGCAUGUCCUUUGGCGUGGCCGGACUUGAGCAGAAAUUUGUGUAAAUUUGAUGGCGGGAUUUGCCAUUGGACAGGGCCGAGCUGAAGGCGACGGGAGGCUGCGGGAAACUGGAGAGCGCGUCUCUAAUAAAGCUGAACGAGCAAAAAUGAAGAUGCGAUGGCAAUAAGGAUAAGGCAAGGAUAAGGCGCAGCUACUUAUGUCCACGGUGGAUGGUAAAUGGCUGAGGCUGCAUUAGGCAUCCGGCCAGCCAAGCAGUCGAAAGGACGGCAGUGAAAUGGCUAAAAAGCAAAGGCGUUAAAAGCCAACAGCCAACAGCCAACAGCGAACAGCGAACGUAGCUUGGCUACGACUUUGUGGCAGCGGCAGCCGUGGAAUGGCCGAUAAUGAUGUUAUUAACAUAGAAAUACACAUUAUAAGCCACAGGCAGUCAAAUCGAGAGCUGACAGGUG